GUAUCUUGACUGUGCAAAGGUAGCAUAAUCACUUGCUUCUUAAUUAGGAGCUGGAAUGAAAGAGGCGACGAAAUCUAGACUAUUUAAGUUUUAGUAUAAAUUGACAGGCGGGUCAAAAGGCCCGCAUACACCAGGGGGACGAUAAGACCCUAUAAAACUUUACUUUCGGGCCGGUCCCCGGCGGGAGGGGAAGUGUUUGAGAGUUUGACUGGGGCGGUUAUUAUAGAAACAAUUAUACAUAAAAUAUAUUAUAUAGAUUGGUAGAACUCUCUAGAGAAAUAGAACAAGUUACUUUAGGGAUAACAGCGUGAUCCCCCCAGA
rnacentral:rRNA from 1 species